GGGCGGGCAGAGCGCGCGCUUGGGCCGCCCCUCCGCGGCUGGGCUGGGGAAGCCCCGGGAGUCUGCGCCGCCGCGCGCCGGCGGAAGGUGACUGCAGGCGGGCGCUUGGAGGCGGCGCCGGCGGGGAGGACUGUGCCCUUUGCCCUAGGCGGUCUCAGCCAGCCUUCCGUCGCUCCUUCACGUCAAUCUGGUCGGGCCGAGUUCUGGCGCGGGAGUGAGGACGGGCUGCAGGGACCGCUCGUUAACUUUAAACAGAGCAAAGAGCAAUGUUAUGUAAGCAAAAAAAUGAAUGAAUGUAUGUGGAGAUAGCAAAGGAACUACAGUUCAGGACAAGGAACCUAUGGCGAAGCCCAAGAGACGAAGAGAAGCCUUUCUCUUCAUGGACCUCACAAAAAUGAAGCCCUGUUCCCAAGGGGAAGCCAUUAUCUACUGAUGGCCCAGGUAUCUCAGAUUCUUCAAGACCAUGGGCAUGAUGUGAUCUUACUUCAACAGAAUGGACUUUCGUUCACAUUAGGUAUCCUGUCUUUCUAUUCCAUGUUCUGUCCAGUAGAAAUACAACAUGAGCUAUAAAUGCAAGUCCCAUGAUGUAUUUAUAUUCCAGAAGACACAUGAAAAAUAAAAACAGGUCAAACUAAUUUUCAUCAUAUAUUUUAUUGAAAGUCAUAUAUCCAAAAUAUCAUUUCAAUGUGUAAACAAUAUAAAAAUUAUUAAUGACAUAGUUCACAUUUGUUUGUGUUAAGUCUUUGAAAUCUGGUGUGUAUUUCACAAUUCACACUAGCCACAUUUCAAGUGUUCAAUAGCCACAUGUAGCUGAUGGCUGCCAUAUUGGACAAUACUGUUUGGACCCUCCCACCAUAGAUGAUAAACCUUGCAUAUGUUAAAUGUUCAGCAAAACUUCAUUUUAGUUCUACUGAGUUAUUACAAUGAAAAUGAUAUGUGUGUGCUAUCUGUGUUUAUUUCAAAGUCCAUCUUAAACCAUAACUCUAGCAUAAGAAAGUUUGAAACACUGUUUCACUCUCCUCAUCAUCUUCUGCAUCCCUCCAUCUCACAUCCUCUCACUUCUGUCUUCAACCCAUUCAUGCAAACCCUUCGCACACAUUUCCAGAUCAAUUUGACAAAAUACUGCUUUAUGUUGCAUGAAACCUUGUGUAUAAUUUGUGGAGAUUGGAUCAAGAUGAUUUCUCUUUUUUUUUUAGAGUAGGCUCCAUGCCCAGUGUGGACCCCAACCUGGGGCUUGAACUCAAGACCCUAAGAUCAAGACCCUGAGCUGAGAGAUCAAGAGUCGGAUGCUUAACCAACUGAGCCACCCAGGCACCCCAUCACAAUGAUUUUUUCUGAUAACAAUCCAGGAAAAGAAAACAGCAAAAUUGCAGGAGAAACUUAUCAAACAACUAAUACAAGAAAAAUUUCCAGAACUAAAAUACGUGUAGCUCCAUAGUGAAAGAUCCCACCUGCAUUCAACACAAAGAAUAAAAAAAUGACCUACACCAGGGGAAAUCAUGGUGACAUUUCAGAAUAGCAGUGGUUAAUAAAAAGCAAUCUAAAUGUUUUGGGGUGCCUGGGUGGCUCAGUCAGUUAAGUGUUUGAUUCUUGAUUUCAGCUCACGUCAUGAUCUCACAGUUCCCACAUGAUCCCAUAGAGAAGGUUUGAGCCCCGUAUGGGGCUCCACACUGAGUGUCUAGAGCCUGCUUAGGAUUUUCUCUCUCCCUCUCUCUCUCUGCCCCUCCCUGACUCACAUGUGCUCUCUCUCUCUCAAAGUAAAUAUAAACUUAAAAAAAAAACUAUUUUAAAAGCAACCUAAAUGUUUUGAUAUACUGCAAUGAUGAGUAGGACUCAGAAUGGCAUCAAACUUUUUAGCAUUGACAUACAGCAGUGGACACAGAAAACCCAACAAGACUUGACAGUAAAAUAGUCUCAAAGGUUUUCCUUUUCAUAUACCACUUCUUAAGAAGUUAUUACAGAGUUUAGUCCCAGCAGAACAAUGGGGUGACCAAGAAAGAGGAAGACGAAGGGUAAGUAUAUAGAAGUGGCAAAACAAGAGAGUGUUAAGAUUUGUCCUAAGGUAUCAGCUGUGCAGUUGGCCUGGAGAGCAGUUGGUCCAGGUUGAAUUGAUAGAAGAAUCCAGAAAGAACAUCUCUGGGGGGAAAAAAAAAUUAGUCAAUAAGUUGACCUUAUUGAAAAUCCUAUUGAGAGAAUAUUGGAGGGAGUUGAGAGACUGGCCAAUAGGCACAGAAACAAAACAAAACAAAACAAAACAAAACAAAACA